rnacentral:sRNA from 1 species
GCCGGGCGUGGUGGCGCACACCUGUAAUCCCAGUGACUAGGGAAACUGAGGCAGGAGGAUUGCGAGUUCAAAGCCAGCUUCAGCAAAAGUGAGGUGCUAAGCAACUCCAUGAGACCCUGUCUCUA